UGUUUAGUUGUGUGGGACUGACACGAGUUGUCAAAUAUGUCACUUGAGAUCUACCUUAUAUCUACAAGAGUGCAGUUAUCCAUCAGAAACAUUAAUUCGAACAGCAACCACUGGAUGCUGGAGUAAAAAGGAGACAAAGUACUUGCAUUGUAUCCCUUCCAUGGAGAAAGUCUAUAUUUUAGGGACGCCCGUAUCUGUCAGUGGACUGAUGUACAAUGAUACCAAAUUUUAAUGUCUACGUCUCCGUUAUUUAAGGAAUGACUGUAAUAUUUUUUUUUCUGUCUAUGAUUUGGUGCACACUGAAUAACGCGCUUAGCGGGUUAUUUAACAGUGUGCACCCCAUUUUUUAUGUUAUUUCGAAUAGACAGAAAAAAUAUUACAGUCAUUUCUUAUAACUUAAUUCUAAAUUCCAUUUUAAACCGUAGAAAACCAUGAAAAACGUUGAUGACGUCACGGCCACAUGACUAAAUUAUGUCUAUGGGCUGAUAACAAAAUAACGUCAGCCAAUCAGAAGACGCGUUACAUCCACAAUUAAAUAAUUCUCAGGUUAAUUUAAAAAAAAUUAAUAAACAUCAGAUUCAGAACGUCAUGUAACAAGGAAUCAAAGCAGAACUCUUUUGCCUUUGUGGUAUAAAUCAUACAACUCUUUAAUAACAAAAUAUGGCUAUACAUAUAACCAAGUACUUUGUUUUUCAAAUUGUUCUUUCCCUUCUAUGUUUGUCUUGGGUUCUUUAGUUAUCUGGUAUUCGAUUAUUCCAUAUUCAUAACUCAGCUAUCAUUUGAAAACACUUGUACAAGUUUUCAUAGAUAUUGUGUAAAGUGAAAAUGAAAACUGACAACUGCUUGUAUUUCUGUUAAAAAUAAGCUACUUUUACGCCUCAAAUUUUCGAAAAUGCGAGAAAGCAAUGGAAUGACAGCUGGAACUUUAUUGUAUUAUUUAUACGCAUACUCCAUGGAAAUGAACCAACUAAUUGCGUCGUCCAUAAUGUACAGCAUACUCCUUCUCAAGCAGACCCACUUAGCAGUACUUUUUGUUUCAGGUUCGUAUACUAUGCUAAAAACUAGAAGCAAAAUUUAUCUACCGUAGUAUCUAUACUGCUACUAUAGCAUUUUAAUGUACGUCAACCAACAUUUAGUUUUACGAGUGUUUUCAUUCCUGUCUGUGUAUAAUUCACGACAUAUUUUAAUUUUUUGUUUGUUGACGCACAAAACAUCA
rnacentral:lncRNA from 1 species